UGGUUCUGGCAUCGAUGAAGAACGCAGCGAAAUGCGAUAAGUAAUGUGAAUUGCAGAAUUCAGUGAAUCAUCGAAUCUUUGAACGCACAUUGCGCCCUCUGGUAUUCCGGGGGGCAUGCCUGUUCGAGCGUCAUUACAACCCUCAAGCUCUGCUUGGUAUUAAGGCUCGCCUGCUAGCAGGUGACCUGUAAAAUCAGUGGCGGUGCCGUUCGGCUUCUAGCGUAGUAAUUUUUCUCGCUUUGGAGUAUCGACUGCGUGCUUGCCAGUAACUCCAAUUUAUCAAAGGUUGACCUCGGAUCAGGUAGGGAUACCCGCUGA
rnacentral:misc_RNA from 1 species